CUGCAGCAAACCAAACAUGUUUGGGGAAGCUUUAAAUAUGAGGUCUUUGUUUUUUUUUCCUUGUCCUGCCACAGCCCUGGGGGAAGAAGUGCGUUAGAGGCUGCAAAACCUCCUGCCUUUGUUCCAGUGGUGCUUCCCUAGUCCUGAGCUCAAGGAACAGCACAGGACCUGGUUUCAGCAGCUUGGCUGCAUCUCCUCUUCUGUCAGCGGCCAGCCUGGAGGCCAGGUGCUGCUGCCUGCUAAAGCCCAUAACAUCACUGCGCUUCCCCUGGCGCUUGGGUAUGCCAGAGAGGAGCUGGAAGGAGCACAACAUUCAGGGAAGAUCAUCUAUUUCUGCGGCACUCGGCUGUUCAAAUGUGGCUGAGUGCUUGGGUGCUCCUACAUCUCCCCUUUGGAUCAGCAAAAUUUGAUUUAGUGGCGCAGCCCUGCGUGCUUCCAGCAGAGAUGCUGUGGUUUAGCUCCUCGUUGCCCUUCUGGAGUUGCUGGCUUUCAGCACAUCGCUCUGGGGGCAGAGCUGGUUUUGAUCUCACUUGCAGCAAAGGCAGAAGUAGCCCAAAUGGUGGGUUUGACCUCCCUAAAUGGCAAUGUGAAUCAGAUUGUGAAGGUAUCAUGAAAGGAAAGGAGGGUACGGUCUCAGCCAUGCCACCCUGCCUGUUCCCUCAAGCUGCCUGGAAUCCAGCAGAACCCAUACAGUGAGGUCUGUGACUUGUGGUGCAAAGCGUUUGUCCUCUUCCCUCGCCUGGAAAAAGCUUUGAGGUCUGUCUGCCUUGUGUACAGGUGUUCUGCCACAAGCGAGGGCAGAGAGCUACGGGGUGCAGUUCCAGGGGAGCUCUUUUAUCCCUGCCAACGGGCUGCGCCGCACAGAGCUCGCACCUGCGGAGCCAGGGAGGAGUGUCCAGAUGGGCUUUUAUUGGAGCCUUCCGGAGAAAAACUGAAGUUUGAAGUUAAUCCCUUGGAAAACACCAAGCUGUGCUUUCCCGAGGGGACACCAACAGCCAUUCCACAGCUGAGGUGUUUGUCUGAAAUUGUGGUUUAUCGUUUUGCCCGUCUGCUUUUCAGGAAGUGCCGUUUGGCUCCUUUUAUCACUUUCAGUCGUGUGGCACAGUGUCCCCAGGUGCACAUACACAUGGAGAGCUUACAAAGGGAAAAGGGUGGAAGCAACAGAAUCGCAAUACUGGCUUGGGGUUACCCCAGAUGUUUUCUGUUGGGCAUAGCAGCUGCAAUUCUGGGGCAACUGCAGCUUGGUUUUGGUGUUUGAAUACCAACCAGAGAGAGACUUCAGGUAUGAGGCAAACACAUUACAAGGACGCUGCCCCCAAAAAACUUAUGAUCAAUAUAGUCUAAAUAGGGGUGAAGACAGUCUGCACGCUGACCAGCCAGCAUCUCUGGACAAGCCAGGACCCAGCCAGCAAUGGAUAUAAUCUCUUGAGGUUGAAAGAAAUUUCUCUGUAUAGAGACUGGCUCUUCUCCAUGGCCCAGAGAAGUGUUCCUCCCGUAGUCCCUCUGCUGGGCUGUUUUUACUGAGAGCAGUUGGAAGCAGAGGUACCUGUGCUGGCAGCUGGGGUUCCAAAUCUCUGGCAGAGCAGGCAUAAGUGGCAGAAAGAGCUAUGCUUCCUGCAUCGGAAUCUCUGCGUGAGUUCCUUUAGAGAUACAGCGCUGCGAUCUGAUGGAUGAGCCAGAACUGCAGAGCACAGCUCACUGGGCUCCACCGUGGUUUUGCUGCCUCCAGUGACUCAGGCAGCUGUUGCUGGCUGCAUCCAGCUGAAGAAUCAGGCCUUGAUUCAGCACAGAGCUUUGGCAGAGGGACCCCAGCCAUGAGUAUGCUCAUAUUUAAUUUUCAGAAUGGAGAUAUUUCUAAAAUAGCAUUGCUAGGAAAAGCCAUGACCAGCUUUAACUUCCUUAGUUCAUCAGCCUGCUAUUGCCAAAUCCUACAACAUCUUUGUUAGCUGACCCUGCUUCUGUUACCAUUUCCAGCCACUGUCUGAUGCUCUGCACUUCUGCAGUCCCAUUUCCCUAACAUCUUUACUACAGUCUAAAGACAGUGGAAAAAACACUUCCGUACAUCUUUACACCAGGGUGCUGUGCUGUUGAAGUUUCUUCACUCAUACACCCACAGUUACAAGAAUUUGAGACAAAGUAAGCAAUACAAGGGCUCUGUCCUCAAACCCCCCUUUUAAGGAAGCAGCCCAGCACAUGCAAGUGAAAUAACUUGGCGUGUUAUUCAGCAGGAUCGGAUGCUGAGCUAUUAGAACCCCACAUAAUCCUGCUCUUGGCAGCAUCAAGGAAGAAAAUGCUAAUUUAGGCCAGAGUUAAUGUAAUUUUUCAAGUAAAUUAGAUUGUAUUUCACAUCACUUUGGCAUAACUGCCUUUUGGAAAAAAAUAUUGAAAAUAAAAUUGAAUUUGGUUUAGAGAGGGCUGAAUAUUCAAAUAAAUAUUGUUAAAUUAUUGGAAUAGCAAAGGUAUCACAUGCUGAUUUUAGCCAAUUCUCCUUUCUGCAUUGUUUUAAGUUGAGCCCAAGGAUGGCACGGUAUAUUCUUUCCCCAAUAAUUCCAUCGUGCUGCUGCAUCUUUAUGGUUUUGGAAAGUUGAGGUGCCGAGACUUACCUGUUUCCAUUGCGAUCACUGGUGAUGAGUCCCAGCUCUCAGA